GUGCUUGCACCGGUGAUUAGUGGCGAACGGGUGAGUAACACGUGAGUAACCUGCCCUUAACUCUGGGAUAAGCCUGGGAAACUGGGUCUAAUACCGGAUAUGACUCCUCAUCGCAUGGUGGGGGGUGGAAAGCUUUUUUGUGGUUUUGGAUGGACUCGCGGCCUAUCAGCUUGUUGGUGAGGUAAUGGCUCACCAAGGCGACGACGGGUAGCCGGCCUGAGAGGGUGACCGGCCACACUGGGACUGAGACACGGCCCAGACUCCUACGGGAGGCAGCAGUGGGGAAUAUUGCACAAUGGGCGCAAGCCUGAUGCAGCGACGCCGCGUGAGGGAUGACGGCCUUCGGGUUGUAAACCUCUUUCAGUAGGGAAGAAGCGAAAGUGACGGUACCUGCAGAAGAAGCGCCGGCUAACUACGUGCCAGCAGCCGCGGUAAUACGUAGGGCGCAAGCGUUAUCCGGAAUUAUUGGGCGUAAAGAGCUCGUAGGCGGUUUGUCGCGUCUGCCGUGAAAGUCCGGGGCUCAACUCCGGAUCUGCGGUGGGUACGGGCAGACUAGAGUGAUGUAGGGGAGACUGGAAUUCCUGGUGUAGCGGUGAAAUGCGCAGAUAUCAGGAGGAACACCGAUGGCGAAGGCAGGUCUCUGGGCAUUAACUGACGCUGAGGAGCGAAAGCAUGGGGAGCGAACAGGAUUAGAUACCCUGGUAGUCCAUGCCGUAAACGUUGGGCACUAGGUGUGGGGGACAUUCCACGUUUUCCGCGCCGUAGCUAACGCAUUAAGUGCCCCGCCUGGGGAGUACGGC
rnacentral:rRNA from 1 species